AGCAGUAGGGAAUAUUCAACAAUGGGAGCAAGACUGAUGGAGAACGCCGCGUGUGUGAUGAAGGGUUUCGGCUCGUAAAGCACUGUUGUAUGAGAAGAAUGUGCUUGAGAGUAACUGUUCUAGUUGUGACGGUAUCUUACCAGAAAGGGACGGCUAAAUACGUGCCAGCAGCCGCGGUAAUACG
rnacentral:rRNA from 1 species